GGAGGAUGUUUAUUGUCAAGAUACGGGGAAAUCAUUAAUGCCGAUACACUUGAGGGCCAGAGCGGCAUAUGGUACUUUUCGUGAACAAUAUAGGGGUGAUGAGAGGAAUCGGGAUAAGAUCACAAAAAAUCUCGAGUUAGUGGAGGGAUUUGAGAACGCAUCCAAGGAGGCUGCAUCUGUCUACAUUUCGCAGGAGGAG